rnacentral:rRNA from 1 species
UACGAGGGGGGCGAGCGUUGUUCGGAAUUAUUGGGCGUAAAGGGUGCGUAGGCGGUUUGGUAAGUCUUAUGUGAAAUCUACAGGCUCAACUUGUAGUCUGCAUGAGAAACUGCCGGGCUUGAGUAUGGGAGAGGUGAGUGGAAUUCCUGGUGUAGCGGUGAAAUGCGUAGAGACCCGGAGGAACACCAGUGGCGAAGGCGGCUUCCUGGUCUGCGACUGACGCUGUGGCGCGAAAGCUAGGGGAGCAAACGGG